rnacentral:tRNA from 1 species
UCCCUGGUGGUCCAGUGGUUAGGACUUGGUGCUUUCACUGCCAGUGCCUGGGUUCAAUCCCUGGAGGGGGAA